rnacentral:tRNA from 1 species
GACCCUGUCGUCUAACUGGCCAAGGCACCCGACUUUCUAUCGGGAUAUUGCGGGUUCAAAUCCCGCCAGGGUUGCCA